rnacentral:lncRNA from 1 species
AUAAUGAUAGCUGUGUUCCAGUAAAAUUUAAAUACAUAAAGACAGGUAGUGGCGUGGUGUGUGUGUGUGUGUGUGUGUGUGUGUGUGUAUAUAUAUAUAUAUAUAUAUAUAGCUAUAGUUUGCUCUCUUUAGGUUUAAAGAAGCAUUUACUUUACAUUUAGCUUAACCCUACUAAGUUCAGCGACUCAAGGGACUUUGCUGAGUGCCCAGGGCUAGUCUAUGAGGUCUUUUUGCUCUGGCUGGCACUCAACACUUGAACAUCUCUCAGUCCUUUGUGAACUCUGGAAUUUGAUAAUGUCAUGCAUUCCCAAUAUUCAUGUUUUCUGUAUUUAUUGUUAUUUUCUCAGCCUUGUAGUUUCACCCUAAUGUAGAGUUUAUUAUGUGGACACAGAAUCAAAGGGACCCCUAACCAAAUUGCCAGAGUGCUACUUCUAACUUCCUCCUCUGUGGUACUUUUGCCUUACAAAUUCUACCUAUCCCAAGUCUCUGUCUCCUCAAGUCAUUAAGCCCACUGUUUUGCUCAGACUCCUCUCUAUUCUAUUUGGAUUCCCCUUCUUUAUACUUUGUGGUCCAGAAAUUACCUCCCAGCAGAAAGCAAAGGUGAUGGUAAGACACCUCACUUAUUUCUCUUCUCUUGGAGACUAGAGCCCUGCCGUUCAGUAUUGCCAGACACAUUUUGUUCAGGUUUCUAGUUUAUAGUAAGAGAACAAAUCCAGUUUAUUUAAUUUGAAAUAGCUAGAAAUAGAAGUUGUUUUUAUUUACAUAUCAUAGGCUUAAAAUAUAUUAUAGAUGUUUAUGCCUAUAAUAAAACUUACACUUAAAAUCAAUAAUAUCUGUCUCCAGAAAUAAAUUCUCCAAUUGCAAACUAAGCAGAUAAUUAUUAUUUUUCAACUUGCUCAGGAUUUUAACAUUGUCUAUAAUGGCUCUUCCGCAAGCACACCACUAAAAAGGAAACUGUUCUAGUAGAUGCAGAUUUGUUAGUUCAAGUUAGUUCACUGUCAGUGGCACUAUAAGCAAGGUAGUUUAUGUUGGUAUAUGUGAUUUUUGUUUUUAUAAAAGACCUGCUCACUUUUCCAUUGUCUUUUCUUAAUUGCUUCAUAUUAAGAGAAAAUAGAAGAUACUUUAUUAGUUUAGCUGUGAGGAGAGUUUGGCAGUAGAACUACUAAAAAAAAGAAUAUAUUUACUUUAGGUUCUGCAUAGCAGACUACAGCUAGCAAUUACAAGCCAUCCAAAAUGCACAGGAUUCAUUCAAAACUUCUAACUGUAGUAACCUGUACAUAUCACUGCCAGACCUCUAUAAAAUAGCUGGUUUUAUUUUCCUGUUGCAUGCAAAAAUUAAUUUAUCUUAAGCUAAUAUCUGACGGCCUGACAUUUUAGUUCUAAAUUAUUUUUUUGUAAUUACAUGGUCUCUUGAGAGAGGAGGAAUACUGAGAUGUGCAAAGCUAUUAUUUUUCUUUUCUUUAUAAAUUCAGUUAAUUUUGAAUGUUUAUGAGAAUUCUUAGAACACUGUCAAGAUCAUUUGAACUAAGCAGUCAAUUCAUAUGCUGGCUUUUUUCUAAAUGAGGUAUUUGGGUUGGAGAUGUGACUGAGUGGUAAGCACUUGCCUAGCAUACACAAAGCCCUCGGUUCAGUCCCCAGCACAACAAGAAAAGGGAUGGAUAUAGAUAUAGAGAUAUAUAGUUAAACAAGCUAUUUCUCUUUCUCCACAAGUGAAAGUGUUAAGAGUAACCCUCUAAUAGCAUCAAACAAGACUAUUAAUGCUGUAGUUUACCGGUGACAAGUCCUUGCUUCCCUGAAUGCUGAAGUAUAAUACCAGAGAAGCAGGCAGAGGCAAGUUUAGAGUGGAAAGUAGAAGCUUUAUUAAAGGACAGCAGAAAGAACUUCUUCCCAGAGGAAGAAGGGGACCCAAAAGGCGAAUCUAUGGAAGGAUGAGGUCUUCCCUUUUUUUAUAGCUAAGGUCAUCUUUCAGCUUUCCCACACUCAAGUCUUUUGUUUCCCUUUAUCUUACAGUGAUAGAAUGCAGGUGGGAAGGCCCAAAAGGUGGGAGAUAGGAGGGCUGAAGGAGUAAUCGGGGCAGGAAGGGCCAGGGACAGCUUUUGAUUAGCAUUUCCCUGUUUGCUGGGAGCUGCUUCUUUAACAGUUCCUUAGGAUGGGUUCCCAGGCCUUGGGGACACUAACAUUUCAAUUUCCCCAAGUGCUGCUCUGGUUUUCUAGACUCCAUUCUCUAUAAUAGCCUCCAUUUUGUUUAUCUUACUCGAUAUUAGACCCGAUUUACCUAACAACACUAACUACCUAUCUUUAAAUCUGGCUUCAGUGCUAGGGUUACAAAAAGAAAGGGUUUCUUCAUAGUGGGUAAUUAUCAGAAGUCUUCUUUUCUUUAGGUACUAUAGACUUUAGAUCUCUCCUCUGUGAUUAUCUAGAUAAAUUACAUUUUUUAUAUGGAGCCUAAUCUUAUACCGUAAGAUAAUACAGAUCAAGCAUCACUAAUCCAAAAAUGUAAACUCUGAAGCUUUUUGAACACCAAUAAGUGCUCUAUAAAAUUACCUUCAGACUGUGUGUGUCUAUAAGGUUUAUAUCUAAUGUAAAUGAAUUUCAUGUUUAGACUGGUCCCAUUUACAAGAUAUCUUAUGUGUAGGCAGAUAUUCCAAAAUCCAAGUCACUUCUGGUCUCAACUCUUUCAGAUAAGGGAUAUUCAACCUUUACCAAGUUUUCCUUCCACCAGAAAUCAUUUUUGAAUUAUGUUAUUUAUAAUCCCUGUAUUGGGCAGAAAUGGGUACCCUGCUACCAUCAAAUGAGUCCUCAACUUUAUCAGGUUUUGCUACCCUCCUCCUUUGUAUUAAAAAGUGACUAGAACAUAAAUGGCAGAAAAAGAUGAAGCUUUUGGUUGUCACGAUGUUUUGUGUUCACAUAACAGAGGGAACAAUGCAUGAUAGCAUAUAGUGGUGGCAGCUCCUGGCAGUAGCUUUCUUGGAAACUGGAAUCUUCUUAAAUAGCAACAAGACUGAUUAGUGCUAUUUUUGACCUAAUUUCUGGAUGAUUUUUAAGGGAGAAUCAUUUCUGAGUCUGUAGUGGCAGUUUCAAAGCACAGCUUUAAGUUUUUGUUAGAAAGAAAUUCCAUACAGUUCCUCUUUUUGCAGGCUUCUGAGUCAAGCAUAGAAAUUCUACUUUCUCACUAGCUCAGAGUGAGUUAAAUUUCCUAAGGAGACCCCAGACUUUCUCCAACCACUUUCUAAAUUGAGAUCACCAAAAGAUCAUUGGUCCCCUCACCUGAAACCUCCAAUAUGGAAGUACUGAUUCUAUUAAGUCCCUGAGACAGUCUGUAAUUCCCCAAAGAGGACAUGUAAACUAACUCCAAUUGUGAUUUCUAAAAGUAUUCUAAUUUCACCCAAAAUUCUGGGAUAAUAGAAAAACUUGUCUUUCCUUAUAUGCCUAUAGUAACAAGAUGAGCAAUUUUCAAAAGUAGCUUUACUAAAAAUAAAAAAAAAAAUGUACGGUGGUUUAAAAUUCCUAUACCAUAUUAAGGAAAUAAAAUUGUUAACUAGGCUGAAGUAACUUUUCCAGCAUUUGGACCAAAAGCUUUCUUCUCUGCAUCACUUGGUCCUGAAGCCUGAAGGAUAUUCAGGUUGAUCCCAUGCUUCAUUGAAGUUGAACCACUAUUUCUCAUAGUUACCAUCAGAUUUGGUCUUUCUGUCAACCACAUGACCCCUCUGGCAGUCUUGAGUCUCUUCACCCCUCAGCUCUCUAUCCUGGAGAGCAAAAGACCCUUCCAAAUUCCAGAGCCCUAUUAGAUGCCCCAUUUCUAACAGAAGGAUUACACAACUCUUCCUGCUUUCUGAGAUUCUUCCUUGAUGAAUCAUUCUAGACCAUUCCUUUUCCUGCCUUUCCUACUUUCCAGAGAAAUGUUUUCCCCCUAAGGUAUAGAAUAUGAAAAAAUACUUCAGGACAUAAAUUCUCAUUCAGUUAAUCAUCAAGGCUAUUAAUGAUGUGUAUUGCUGAUAGAAUAUUUUUUAAAAGAUAGUCUUUUUUCUCAAGACAAGCAUUCCCAUUUUCUUGUUUUCUUAAUUAUAAAUGUUUUUCCAUAGAGACUUGUGCCAAAGUUAUUGGCAGCAUUUACAUCAGUUACUGGUAUUGAAUGGUGAAAACGAAUGAAGGAGGAGUGUUUUGGGAAAGCAGUUGCUCAUUUUGUUUUUCUAAAGUCAUUUGUAUUUUAUCUCAUUUUUUGUUUUUCUUGGCUUCUUUUCAUUGGCUGUCCUUUUUCCCUUUUAUUUUUCUUUAUAUUCAAAACUUUUCUUCUCCUGGCUUUUUAAAAUUAAAACUUAAUUCUCAAAAUAUGUGGUUUUAUGUUUAAAACUCCAUAGUUAAAAGCAUAUUAAAAAUUGGCUCUUCACUCUAGAUUCUAUUGGUAGCAUAGGGUGAAGUGAAGAAAGAAGGAUGAAGAAGAAAUCAUUCUCUUGAUUAUACUUUAAAAGUUUUUGUUCUUUUCCAGGAGUCCAAUGUGCUGAUUGCUGCUAACAGUCAGGGUACAAUUAAGGUAAGGUAUUUUAUAUAUCUCCAUUUUUAAACUCAGAUCCAUUUUUAGACUAUAAAAAGAUCAUGGAAAUAUACAGUUGUAGUGAACCUUAUAGGUCAUUUCAGAUUAUGGGUCUCUGUCUCCUUGUAAAUGGCUUGAUUUAGGGGAAAGAAAGAGCUUGCAUCUGUGGAGAUGGUAGUACUUGUUGAGGUUUAUGAAUGCUGGAUGGAUUGAUAGAUAGUCAGAUAAAAAAGAUUGAAGCAUUCACAGUGGGCCAAGCGCUGUUGAGCUUCUCUUCUCUUACACUGUAGCUAACCAAAGGACAUUCCCUGCCCAGGUCCAAAUACAGCAGGAGGUGCAUAUACAUCCACUAGAUUUAAAUUUAUCUUACUCUCAUUUUACUUUUCCUCAUGUUUCUCUUCCUUUUCUUUCCUGACAAGCAGGUUUUUCUUCACUUGUCAAGGUGGGAGUUGAGAGUGUGGGGAAAAAAUUUAGCGUUCAGUUGAAAAUUGGUUGAUCAUGUGAUGCUGUUACUAUAAUCUGAAAAUUUGAGUGCCCCUUGGUAGUCUCAGUCAUAAACUCAUGAUACAGUUUUCCACAGAUUUUCCUUUGUAGUUAGGAGCUCAAAAAAAUAAAAAUGUUAUCUACUUAUACUAUUGGAUAGUUUAGCCCUUGGGCAUAAUACCUUAGAUAAGCAAAUUAUGAGCUAAGCAAAACAAACUUUCUGAACAAAACACCAUUUUGGUGGCUUUUAGUACAUGGAUUUGAUUAGCGCAUAUUCCGAGAAUACCUGUUCUUUCCACAUAUUUUUUCAUGAAAUAUCAGGAAGCAUUUUUUUAAUAUAUAUAACGUAUCUACUUUACCUGCCAAUAGGUAUUAAAUUUGCCAUGAAUUCCUUCAGCUCAUCCCAAGUAGAGAAUAACCCAGCCCUCAAGGGAGAAAAUUCAAUCCUAACAAGUACGAUAGUGAGGAAAUGGGCAAACUCAAAGCAGAACUGCAUUGAACUGGUCAAACUAAUUCACAUGGUAGACUACUUUUUAGACAGCUAGUUUCUCUAAAUCCUCUUCUAAAGAAAAACCAUGGACAGCUUAAAUGAAAACUAGGUUUUUGAAAUGAUUAACAUUUGUUAUAUUUUGAAGCCUCAAGCAAGAUAGAAGGUCUUAGAAUCUCUGAUUUAAUUGUCUCUUUUUACUCGUUGGGUCUCUCUUUAUUUUAGCCUCAUGGAAUGGCAUGAGUUAACAAAAAGAAACCUUACUCUUCAACAAGUUUGGCCUUUGGAUCAAUUGAAAUUACUAAGAUCUCUUCAGGAAUUCAAAGCUACAUUGAUACUCAUAGAGCCUCAUUGAUAAAUCUGAGCUUUUUAAAAACAGUUUAGACCUCUUAUGUUAAGUAGCUUACUUGUCCAAUAUAAAGAUAUCAUUCCAACAGUCAAGUUAAACCUUAGCAGAGUAGCAAAGGUUGCAUCUUUACAUCUUUGCCCCCCAAAAUUUUAGUCUCCUUGUAACUUAAUUCUUUUUGACAGUGUCUCAUAAUUAUCCUCGUGUUCAUGGUCUUUUCUUAGCUAUUUGCUCCCACUUUUUCUUAUCUUUAGUUGUAGCAAUAUCACAACUUAUUUUUAUGAGGGGGUAUUGCUUUAACACUAAAAGCUAACAAAAUACCUUGACACCAAAUGAUUAACCAGAAAAUGAAAAAACUAGUAGAAAAAGGCAAAGUUUUAUGUGCUAUAUACCUUGAUCACUGGUGUUUGGUCAGUGGUUUGAUCAAACUAGUGCUUAUCAAUAGAAGUAAUAGAUUAUAUCCUAAAUAGUAAUGUUUCAAGUUUUCUUAAAAAUGUGGAAGAAUACCAACAGACAUUCCAUAAAUGUAUAUCCAUGCCACGUAUCAGCCAGUUCAUUUAUACAUGUUUUAUCUUGAAGGCUCCCUAAUUAAAAUGGAGAUAAUUAACCUGAAAGAGUUCGUAUAGUGGUUGAUUUGAAUGUAAGAAAGGGCUUAUGUUCAAUCCCUUCAAAUUUGUUAGCAUUAUAACCAGGUGGUAAACAUUUUUUAUUUAGUUUCCACUGGUAAAUACAGUUAAGAGUCACUAAACUCUUUUAUGUUGUAAAGCUAUUAUAUAACGCUAAUCCCUUUUUUCCCCAUUAGGUGCUAGAGUUGGUAUGAAGGGUUUACUGAAGUCGAGGGUGUGUUUGAUCCUGCCUAAUACAUCUGCAGCUGACAAUGAGAGAAGAAACGAAUGUCACAUGAAGUCUCGCCCCAAAAUCAUCAUGGGAUUUGUAUUCUUUUGAGUACUUUAUUUCCUUUUUUUCCGUCUUUAUGACCUUGGGACAUUGGGAAUGCCCAGCGAACUCUCCGCCAUCAAUGUAACUCCAUGGACUUUGCUGCUGUUGGUGGUGUGGUUAUCUAAUUUUUGUGAUAGGGAAACAAAUUCUUUUGAAUAAAAAUAAAUAACAAAAAAUAAUAAAAGUUUAUU